rnacentral:lncRNA from 12 species
AGAAUGGCCUGAGCCAGAAGGGACCUUCAAGAUCAUUUAGUUAUGAAACUCCUGCCAUUGCCAGGGACACAUUCCAAUGGAUCAGGUCUAUCAUAUAGGUCAAAGUCCCAUCCAUCUGAGCACUAUUUAGAGCCAAACUGCUCUGCUGGGGGAAACCUGGCAUCCACACACUGGAUAUCCUGCAAAGCUCUUCUCGAAAAAACACCCUUUCUGUUUCUCCUCAAAUUAUACCCUUGCAGGAGAGCUAGUGCUUGGAUCAGAGAAGAGCAGAACAAAUCGAGGCCAGCUUAGAGUGAAGGUUAGUGCAUCCAUUCCUAUUAGAUCAGCAGACCUUGCUCGUGCACUCAUAUGUCUUUCUCAAGCACAACUUCCAAGGAUAUGUCCUUAAGGAGAAACGGCAGCCAAGAUCUGGAGAUGCUGGAUGGGCAACAUAACGGAUAUGUCCUUAAGGAGAAACGGCAGCCAAGUGCAUCUGGAGAUGCUGGAUGGGCAACAUAAGACUUAUGGCUCCCUUGCUUCAUAGCUGAGUGCCUGCUCACGGGGGUUCACUAGAAUCUAUUUCAACUUGAGCCUCACACCUUUGAUUUCGUGGCAAAACGCUGCUGUUGUUCCAGCACCACCCUCUGAGGGACCUUCCCAAACUGCUCUGCCUCUGUUCAAGCCAUUAGCUGGAAACUUGGACUCCAGCCUAUGAACCUGUGACCCUCCCUGCCACUGAUUGCUACCCUCAGAGAGAGAGACUCAAAAGCACGGAAAGGAGAACGUGGCUGUGGGAACACUGUGGGAAUGGUGGGAGUUCAGGAAGUGCUAUAUCCCUGCAAAGAAAAGCCUGCACCCAUGGGGAAAAACGAGCACAACAAAAUGGCCCAGCUCCAGAAAGGUCUUGAUAAAAACAGCAGAAAACCUUCUUCUUCAUGCUAAAUCCUUCCUUGUUGGUUUUAACCAACACUGAUAACAAAAUAAAUACAAAAUAAAACAAA